GUGAGGGAGGUGUGCUUCGUGUCCAGGCUGUUUACUGCCGUGACAAUGGGCAGGGUUUGGGCUUGCAUCUGAGCUGGGUUUAUUGUGGGUGGAGGCAGGGGAGUGGCGGACAGAGGGCAUGUCUAACCUGAAGGAGGCAGUGAGGACCCGCUGCACAGAAGGGGAGAUGUGUUGAAGGAGCAGUAGGAGGGGGGUGGAAGUCGAUUUAGGGCGGGUCCCCAAAUGGGUGGCUGCAAGUGACAUCGUAGAGAUGGCAGACAUGGUACCUAAUAGACACUCUGCAGAGUUGAUUCCGUUAUCUCUGUUUUGUGGUUGAAUCUCUCAGGUCUCUGAAAGAUGGAAGCCCAGCAGGCAGGGUUAAUGCAUUCUUUUUCAAAAGGAAGGAGCUGGAUUCGAUGAUCUUCAAGGAGGUUGACAAGCAUGUGGGGAAAGGCUUCUACUCAACUCUGGGAAGGCUUCCUGGGUAGCUCAGUUGGUAAAGAAUCUGCCUGCAAUGCAGGAGGCCCCUAUUCAAUUCCUGCGUCAGGAAGUUCCCCUGAAAAAGGGAUAGGCUACCCACUCCUGUAUUCUUGGGCUUCCCUGGUGGAUCAGACAGUAAAAAAUCCACCUGCAAUGCAGGAUACCUGGGUUCAGUCCCUGGGUGGGGAAGAUCCCCUGGAGGAGGGCAUGACAACCCACUCCAGUAUUCUUGGCUGGAGAAUCCCCAUGGAUGGAGGAGCCUGGUGGGCUGCAGUCCCUGGGGUUGCAAAGAGUCAGACAUGACUGAAUAGACAGCAUGCAUGCACAAAUUGAAGACAGAGAAAAAAAAAUCAAUGCAUCCCCGUGGUUAAGAGAACUGGCUUUUGGAUCGCACUCUGAAUCAAAUCCUAAUUCUGCCACCCGUUUGCUGUGAAAUGUGGGACAAGUUACUGAAUGCCUCCAAGUCUCAGUUUCACAGUCUCUGAAAUGGAGAUGGUUAAAGAACCUGUUCUGUGAGGUUGCGAUCCUCGUAUGUGACGGAACGGCUGCAAAUUUCCCAGUGCAAGGUAAGAGCUGAGUAAUAUUUGCCUCAUCAGCGGCAGCCCCAGCAUCAUCCCCAUGGUCGUUUUCUCAUCUACUUAUCCUGCCCGGCCCUGGAGGGCAGACAUGGGAGCGAAUGUGGAACCUACAGGGAGGUUGAGGGUGAUUCAACUCGAGAAAGAACAAUCCAACUGCUGGUAUUGUAGAGAAUGGGCACACGGAGGGGGCGGCGAGGAAAGAAAGUGGGAGGGAGAGAGAGAGAGAGGAGCUUCAGUGGACGGAUCUGUGGAACAGCCACGUGCCCUGUGCACCGUCUCAUCGAGGGGUUAACCCCGGCCGUGUCAGCGUCUCAGAGAAAACAGAGGCCACCGGUCACGGAGACCAAGAGAAGUUUCACUGUCUCCUUCACCUGCCGCUUUCCCACAGCUGCGAGACCCCAGCCCAAGGGCGGCCUGGAAAUUUGGUUAAGAAAUGAAGGCUUAGCAUUCUUGAAAGAUGGUCUUAGGGUGGUCCUGUUUGGACUAUGUCUUCAAGGAGGCCUUCCAGGGCUCUUAGGAAACCGGGCCUGGCGCCCCUGCAGCCUCUGAGGGCUCCUGGAGGGCCUCUGCCUGACUCAGUCUUCAGGGACCCCUCCUCCCUUUGCCUCUAGGCUGGAGGCCUCCUCUCCUCCCAUGACGGCUCCUUCACCCUGUAACUGCACCUGUGGAUUUCCGCUCUAGUCCCACGACCCUCUUCUCUCAGUCUUGCCAUCACUGCCCCUGGCUUUAUCUUCUCUUUCCCGGGCACAGGGGCCCUUCCCGCCCGAUGCUGUGAGUCUUUAGUGAGUCCAGAGCCCCGGAUGCCUCCGCUGACCUUGCCCUCUGUGGCCUUCCUUUCUCCGCUGCUUCCGUGUAAAUGCAGCCUGGUCCUGGGAACAAGAGCCCGGUCCAGGCAGCGGAAGUCAUGAUUACUGUCAGAUGACACGGGGGGCGAUGGAGCCGGGCCCUCGUCGCGCGCUCGAGGGUGAGGCUCGGCCCUGGGGUGUGAGCGGGCAGGGCGGGGGCCUGCGGAGGCGGCGGGGGGCCCGCGGUUCCGAGGCUCCUGCUAAAGAUACUUGGCGGCAGCGAGGCCGCAGGCCUGUGGCCGGGCGCCAGGCCCGACCGCGAGUCAUUUCCAUACGCGGGUCAGCCCGCGGCGUGUUUACAGCCGCCUCUCCCCAGAGCUCUACCAGGAAGGCCCGGCCCCCGGGCCCCGGGAGGGAGGCCGGCGCUGGCUGUGGGCGGCGGGCUGCGUGCCUCUGGCCGGGAGAGCGCGGUUCCCAUCAACGCCGAUUACCGGCGGCCGCCCCCGACGGGAGGUCGGGAAGCAGGCCGCCGGCACCGCGGGGCCGUGCGAAAUGAUGUCGGUGAGACCUGUCUGUGGGGCUGUGUGCUUAUAAAUACACGCCGGGCCGCUGGCCGGGCGCCGCGGGCGCCCAAACAGCCCUGCGCGCAGCUGUAUUUGAGAUGGAAACGCGGGCGCAGGGGCCGGGCCGACCCCUCGGGGACCCUGGGCGAGCGCUCGCUUCCUCCCGCCGCACCGCGCUCGCCCUGCGGCUGCGGGCCCAGGCCGUUAGGGAGAGUGUGGAGCCGGGGCUUGGGUUCCCACCGCGGCCUCUUUAUAAAGAGACCCUUCUCUGAUGUGGAGGCCUUUGGAAGCGUCUCCUCCUUGUCCUUCUCCCUCAUCGCUCCAGAGCUACCUGGUUGAGAUCCCCAUGAGAAACUGACGUCUCCAAAAAGGACUCUUCUGCCUAAGCCUCAGCGUUCACCUUGGGAUCAUUGUGAAGUGACCCUGCUUGGGGACCCUCCCCGAACCCGGCCGUAGGCCCAAGCCGGGAUGCAUUCCUUCAGGCGCCGAGAGGGGCCUGUCUGCAUGUCACCCCUCCGCACCCCGCCUGGCCCCCCCCGGACUGCAACAGAGCCUGCUCCUGGAGACAAGGGCGCGCAGCUGGCUGACGUCACCAGGAAUGCUCGGGGGCCUGCACGGAGCCGAGAUGAGAUGUCACUGGGAGCAACUGGACGGUCCGUCCCGUCAUCUGCUUCGGAAACGAGCCGGUGCUACAGGGACGGAGAAGUCUGCGGAAACAUCUGAGAACGUUGCAUCUGGUUGAUUUGCCUCCCAGCUCUGCCCUCCUCCUUUCCCGCCCUGCUCACUCUUCGCCUCUGGGGCUUCUGUCCCCAGGAGGCAGUCUACAAGAGCGUUUGGGAGCAGAGCACUUGGAAUCCGCCUUGGCUCCCUCCUGGCUCUACUCCUUGCCAGCUGUGUGACGUUGGGCAUGGCAUGCAAAUGGGGCGAACAGUGGGCCCUGCCUCCUGGGGCUUGGGCAAUGAAUGAAUUGGUACUGAUGGAGCCCCAGCACUGUUCCCAGCACAUAGUAGGCACAUGAUAGCUGAGGAUCAUUUGAAUUAAGCUGCAACCUCAGAAUCAAAGGUCGAGGCCUAGGAAUGAGACAUUCCAUUUAAC
ensembl:lncRNA